rnacentral:ncRNA from 2 species
GAGCGCCGUAUGAGGGGAAACUCUCACGUACGGUGCGGAACGGGGGAAAAGGCAGAGAUGAUUUCAAAGCCUUACCUAUCGUUAU